UUCGCUCUCACGCUAUUUGCCUCUCUUAUCCCCUCCGACCCUACGCAACUUCCGCCAACGCCUAAAAAUAUCUCCAGCAUUCAACAAAUCUCCAUUCCUCUAUCCUUCUCUGAUUUCCCAAUUCCCGAUUAUUAUCCCUUCUCUUUCUUCACAGAUGUUGCCUGCCGUGGACCUCGCUUCUGUACGCGAUAAAUUCAUUGACCC
rnacentral:misc_RNA from 1 species